rnacentral:rRNA from 1 species
GACGAACCGAGCGAACGUUAUUCGGAAUCACUGGGCUUAAAGGGUGCGUAGGCGGGCCCGUCAGUCAGGGGUGAAAUCCCACGGCCCAACCGUGGAAGUGCCUCUGAUACUGCGGGCCUGGAGGGGGAUAGGGGCGUGCGGAACUUCCGGUGGAGCGGUGAAAUGCGUAGAUAUCGGAAGGAACACCGGUGGCGAAAGCGGCGCGCUGGAUCCCUACUGACGCUGAGGGACGAAAGCUAGGGGAGCGAAAGGG